rnacentral:tRNA from 6 species
GGGGUUCCCGAGCGGCCAAAGGGAGCAGACUGUAAAUCUGCCGUCAUCGACUUCGAAGGUUCGAAUCCUUCCCCCACCA